GCGGUUUCCUUUAAGGCUGCCUGUUUGAAGUAAAUUGUUUAAAAUCCGCCUUCUAUUUUACUGUUGUUAAAUUGAAUGAACUACUUCACAGUUUUGAUAAUUUUGUUUUAGCAAAAGUGUAAAACAGCGUAUAUUUAUUAUAUUACAAUUAUUAGAAUAAUACAUUUUGAAUUAGAAAAGAAAGACAUCGACCGCUUGUGAUGACCGUUUUAAGUAUAAAAUGGUCCUAACAAAGUCACUUUAAUCUCAAAGAUUUGAAUGUUUAUACAAGACAGUCUUUAUCCCUAACAUCGGAUGACAAACAGUUACUUAUAAAGCACCGUGGUUUACACGCGAACAUUAAAUCUUUGUUCUGUUAAAACGUCGCAAUCUGUCUGUAGCUCGUAAGUGUGGCAUGAAAUACGACGUCGCAACUUUUAGUCCUUGUAGACUGUAGUAACUCCUGAAUGAGAAGUCAAUUAGAAGUGGUCCUAAGAGUUGAACUCGCCGCGGUUGCUCGAUUAGUCACUGAAACAUUCCCCGCGUGCCGAUCCUCAGCAGAUCACCGCUUGCUCAUACCGAGGGAAGGAACAAGUGGUGCGGCUAUCGAGAAGUGACCGUCGAAGCAACAGGCCGUGAAGGCGGGGACACAUUGCGCCGCGGUUGCACAAUGUCUCGCGUCGGUGCGCGGCGCCGGCGCAGAUGCAGCAUGAUUUAUUGCAAUCUCGAUCCGUUAUUAACAUAUUCACAAUAGAUAUGUCAACAAUAUCAUCUAUAUCAUACUUUGUACAAAAUUUGAAAUUAAUUACACUCUGAAAUAACUG